GACGAACGCUGGCGGCGUGCUUAACACAUGCAAGUCGAGCGGUAAGGCUCCUUCGGGAGUACCCGAGCGGCGAACGGGUGAGUAACACGUGAGUAAUCUGCCCUUCACUUCGGGAUAACCACCGGAAACGGUGGCUAAUACCGAAUACGACCAGUCUUCGCAUGAGGUGCUGGUGGAAAGUCUUUUCGGUGAAGGAUGUGCUCGCGGCCUAUCAGCUUGUUGGUGGGGUAAUGGCCUACCAAGGCUUCGACGGGUAGCCGGCCUGAGAGGGUGACCGGCCACACUGGGACUGAGACACGGCCCAGACUCCUACGGGAGGCAGCAGUGGGGAAUAUUGGACAAUGGGCGAAAGCCUGAUCCAGCAACGCCGCGUGAGGGAUGACGGCCUUCGGGUUGUAAACCUCGUUCAGUACCGACGAAGCGCCCUGUCGGGUGGUGACGGUAGGUACAGAAGAAGGACCGGCCAACUACGUG
rnacentral:rRNA from 1 species